rnacentral:rRNA from 1 species
GUGGGGAAUUUUGCGCAAUGGGCGAAAGCCUGACGCAGCAACGCCGCGUGGAGGAUGAAGGUCCUUGGAUUGUAAACUCCUGUCAGCAGGGAAAAAGCGAAUCGGUCUAAUACACCGGUGAGUUGAUUGUACCUGCAGAGGAAGCCCCGGCUAACUCUGUGCCAGCAGCCGCGGUAAUACAGAGGGGGCAAGCGUUAUUCGGAAUUAUUGGGCGUAAAGGGCGCGUAGGCGGCUUGGCAAGUGGAAGGUGAAAUCCCUCGGCUUAACCGAGGAACUGCCCUCCAAACUGCUUCGCUUGAGACCGGGAGAGGUGAGUGGAAUUCCCAGUGUAGCGGUGAAAUGCGUAGAUAUUGGGAGGAACACCAGUGGCGAAGGCGGCUCACUGGACCGGUACUGACGCUGAUGCGCGAAAGCGUGGGGAGCAAACGGGAUUAGAUACCCUAGUAGUCC